GCGCGAAACCUCCGCAAUGCGAGCAAUCGCGACGGGGGGACCCCAAGUGCUACUCUUAACGGGGUAGCUUUUCUAAAGUGUAAAAAGCUUCAGGAAUAAGGGCUGGGCAAGACCGGUGCCAGCCGCCGCGGUAACACCGGCAGCUCAAGUGGUGGCCGCUUUUAUUGGGCCUAAAGCGUUCGUAGCCGGCCUGAUACGUCUCUGGUGAAAUCCCGCAGCUUAACUGUGGGAAUUGCUGGAGAUACUAUCAGGCUUGAGGCCGGGAUAGGCUGGAGGAGCUUCCAGGGUAGGGAUGAAAUCCUAUAAUCCUGGGAGGACCACCUGUGGCGAAGGCGUCCAGCUGGAACGGACCUGACGGGGAGUAACGAAAGCCAGGGGCGCGAACCG
rnacentral:rRNA from 1 species